rnacentral:rRNA from 1 species
UACGUAGGGUGCGAGCGUUGUCCGGAAUUAUUGGGCGUAAAGAGCUCGUAGGCGGCUUGUCGCGUCGGAGGUGAAAGCCCGGGGCUUAACUCCGGGUCUGCAUUCGAUACGGGCAGGCUAGAGUGUGGUAGGGGAGAUCGGAAUUCCUGGUGUAGCGGUGAAAUGCGCAGAUAUCAGGAGGAACACCGGUGGCGAAGGCGGAUCUCUGGGCCAUUACUGACGCUGAGGAGCGAAAGCGUGGGGAGCGAACAGG